GUGAAGUGUUUGGGGGAUUCUC
rnacentral:miRNA from 1 species